rnacentral:rRNA from 2 species
UGAGACCUCAGGUCAGGCGGGGCUACCCGCUGAA